rnacentral:rRNA from 1 species
GUAAACUAUAGCAAGCAAUCCCACGGUUGGGCUUCGGCCUGGCUGUGGGUAAAAUGGAUAACCAUGGUAAUUCUGAGGCUAAUACAAGAACGUACUCCCUGGCUGACCGGCAACGGAAGGCUGGGGAGCGUGCAACGUAUCGUAAGACAAACCGGGAAUGGGUGCACGCUUGGACCGCGCUAAAAACAGAUCUUGGUGAACCUUCGGGUAAGCUUUGGCCUGAGCGGCUCUUGCUGUGUGCUUCUGACCUAUCAACUAGAUGGCAGCGUAACGGACAUGCUAUGGUUACAACGGGUACAGAGGAUUAGGGUUCGAUCCUGGAGAGUGGGCCUGAGAGAUU